rnacentral:rRNA from 1 species
UAGGGAAUCUUCGGCAAUGGGGGGAACCCUGACCGAGCAACGCCGCGUGAGUGAAGAAGGUUUUCGGAUCGUAAAGCUCUGUUGUUAAGGAAGAACGAGUGUGAGAAUGGAAAGUUCAUACUGUGACGGUACUUAACCAGAAAGGGACGGCUAACUACGUGCCAGCAGCCGCGGUAAUACGUAGGUCCCGAGCGUUGUCCGGAUCUAUUGGGCGUAAAGCGAGCGCAGGCGGUUAGAUAAGUCUGAAGUUAAAGGCAGUGGCUCAACCAUUGUAGGCUUUGGAAACUGUUUAACUUGAGUGCAGAAGGGGAGAGUGGAAUUCCAUGUGUAGCGGUGAAAUGCGUAGAUAUAUGGAGGAACACCGGUGGCGAAAGCGGCUCUCUGGUCUGUAACUGACGCUGAGGCUCGAAAGCGUGGGGAGCGAACAGG